CCUACGGGAGGCAGCAGUGAGGAAUAUUGGUCAAUGGGCGCAAGCCUGAACCAGCCAAGUCGCGUGAGGGAUGACGGUCCUAUGGAUUGUAAACCUCUUUUGUCGGGGAGCAAGGCCCGCCACGUGUGGCGGGAAGGAGAGUACCCGAAGAAAAAGCAUCGGCUAACUCCGUGCCAGCAGCCGCGGUAAUACGGAGGAUGCGAGCGUUAUCCGGAUUUAUUGGGUUUAAAGGUUGCGCAGGCGGAUUUUUAAGUCAGCGGUAAAAUCGUUGGGCUAAACCCCAUUCAGCCGUUGAAACUGGGGAUCUAGAGUGUGCGAGAGGUAUGCGGAAUGCGUGGUGUAGCGGUGAAAUGCAUAGAUAUCACGCAGAACCCCGAUUGCGAAGGCAGCAUACCGGUGCACAACUGACGCUCAGGCACGAAAGCGUGGGUAUCGAACAGGAUUAGAUACCCCAGUAGUC
rnacentral:rRNA from 1 species